rnacentral:rRNA from 1 species
ACGCCGUAAACGAUGAAUACUAGGUGUCGGGGGAGACCUCGGUGCCGACGCUAACGCAUUAAGUAUUCCGCCUGGGGAGUACGGUCGCAAGACUGAAACUCAAAAGAAUUGACGGGGACCCGCACAAGCAGCGGAGCAUGUGGUUUAAUUCGAAGCAACGCGAAGAACCUUACCAGGUCUUGACAUCCCUAUGCAAUAAUCUUAACCGAUUAGUUCCCUUUGGGGACGUAGGUGACAGGUGGUGCAUGGUUGUCGUCAGCUCGUGUCGUGAGAUGUUGGGUUAAGUCCCGCAACGAGCGCAACCCUUGUCUUUAGUUGCCAUCAGAUAAUGCUGGGCACUCUAGAGAGACUGCCGGUGACAAACCGGAGGAAGGUGGGGAUGACGUCAAAUCAUCAUGCCCCUUAUGAUCUGGGCUACACACGUGCUACAAUGGCUGGUACAACGGGCAGCGAAAGAGUAAUCUGGAGCGAAUCCUAUAAAGCCAGUCCCAGUUCGGAUUGUGGGCUGAAACUCGCCCACAUGAAGUUGGAGUUGCUAGUAAUCGCGAAUCAGAAUGUCGCGGUGAAUGCGUUCCCGGGUCUUGUACACACCGCCCGUCACACCAUGGAAGUUGGAAGCGCCCGAAGUCGGUGAUCUAACCUAUUUAUAGGAGGAAGCCGCCGAAGGUGAAGUCAAUGACUAGGGUGAAGUCGUAACAAGGUAACC